rnacentral:rRNA from 1 species
GAUGAACGCUGGCGGCGUGCCUAAUACAUGCAAGUCGAGCGAACGGACGAGAAGCUUGCUUUUCUGAUGUUAGCGGCGGACGGGUGAGUAACACGUGGAUAACCUACCUAUAAGACUGGGAUAACUUCGGGAAACCGGAGCUAAUACCGGAUAAUAUUUUGAACCGCAUGGUUCAAAAGUGAAAGACGGUCUUGCUGUCACUUAUAGAUGGAUCCGCGCUGCAUUAGCUAGUUGGUAAGGUAACGGCUACCAAGGCAACGAUGCAUAGCCGACCUGAGAGGGUGAUCGGCCACACUGGAACUGAGACACGGUCCAGACUCCUACGGGAGGCAGCAGUAGGGAAUCUUCCGCAAUGGGCGAAAGCCUGACGGAGCAACGCCGCGUGAGUGAUGAAGGUCUUCGGAUCGUAAAACUCUGUUAUUAGGGAAGAACAUAUGUGUAAGUAACUGUGCGCAUCUUGACGGUACCUAAUCAGAAAGCCACGGCUAACUACGUG